rnacentral:rRNA from 1 species
CCUACGGGAGGCAGCAGUGAGGAAUAUUGGUCAAUGGGCGUAAGCCUGAACCAGCCAAGUCGCGUGAGGGAUGAAGGUUCUAUGGAUCGUAAACCUCUUUUAUAAGGGAAUAAAGUGUGGGACGUGUCCUGUUUUGUAUGUACCUUAUGAAUAAGGAUCGGCUAACUCCGUGCCAGCACCCGCGGUAAUACGGAGGAUCCGAGCGUUCUCCGGAUUUAUUGGGUUUAAAGGGUGCGUAGGCGGCCUUUUAAUUUAGCGGUGAAAGUCUGUGGCGCAACCAUAGAAUUGCCGUUGAAACUGGGAGGCUUGAGUAUGUUUGAGGCAGGCGGAAGGCGUGGUGUAGCGGUGAAAUGCGUAGAUAUCACGCAGAACCCCGAUUGCGAAGGCAGCCUGCCAAGCCAUGACUGACGCUGAUGCACGAAAGCGUGGGGAUCAAACAGGAUUAGAUACCCCAGUAGUC